rnacentral:rRNA from 1 species
AGUAACGCGUAAAGAACUUGCCCUUCAGCUGGGGACAACAUUGGGAAACCGAUGCUAAUACCCGAUACGAAGUACGAUAGGCAUCUAUUGUACUUGAAAGCUAUAUGCGCUGAAGGAGAGCUUUGCGUCCUAUUAGCUAGUUGGUGAGGUAAUGGCUCACCAAGGCGACGAUAGGUAGCCGGCCUGAGAGGGUGAACGGCCACAAGGGAACUGAGACACGGUCCUUACUCC